UUGUACCUACGGGGGGCAGCAGUGAGGAAUAUUGGUCAAUGGGCGGGAGCCUGAACCAGCCAAGUCGCGUGAGGGAAGACGGUCCUAUGGAUUGUAAACCUCUUUUGUCGGGGAGCAAAGAGGCCACGUGUGGUCAAAAGCGAGAGUACCCGAAGAAAAAGCAUCGGCUAACUCCGUGCCAGCAGCCGCGGUAAUACGGAGGAUGCGAGCGUUAUCCGGAUUUAUUGGGUUUAAAGGGUGUGCAGGCGGCGAGUUAAGUCAGCGGUAAAAUUUCGGGGCUCAACCCCGACGAGCCGUUGCAACUG
rnacentral:rRNA from 1 species